rnacentral:rRNA from 1 species
CACUGACAUUAGAUACCCGUGUAGUCCUAGCCGUAAACGAUACUCGCUAGGUGUCGGCCACGGUGCGACCGUUGUCGGUGCCGUAGGGAAGCCGUGAAGCGAGCCACCUGGGAAGUACGGCCGCAAGGCUGAAACUUAAAGGAAUUGGCGGGGGAGCACAACAACGGGUGGAGCUUGCGGUUUAAUUGGAUUCAACGCCGGAAAUCUUACCGGGACCGACAGCAACAUGAAGGCCAAGCUGAAGACUUUGCCGGAUUAGCUG